GUAUCAUAGACGACCAGGCGGAGUGCUAGAAGGGACGGGGAACUCACAGCUUUGUGGGAAUCGGCGGUUGCUACUCCAGGUCGAGGUGUCCGGUGGUGAUGAACCUGGUGAAACCUCGAAGGGAAUGAAGAGCAGCUUCUUAGCUGGCUGGAGUGCCAACGGCAGAACCCCCCCCCCCCCAUUUUUCUCUCAAGAAGUUCAUUCUUUGGUGCCCCGUUCUUUGAACUGCAUAGCCUCCUACACUGUACAAGAAUGUCAGCAAUCAGGAGAUUCGCUUACAGGGACUUACGUAAGACAACUGACCUCUACCAGUUCUCCCAGUAUUCUUAUCCAACACAAAAUGGCAGGCUUGUGACAUCACCAGGAUCUUUGCAUCGACCUCCCCAUUUCCUAGGAUGAACGAUUGGGCCAAGCAUCUCUGAUCAGCCAUCAGUCCUCCGCCAAACUGUGGAUCUGGGUGGGUGCCUCCAUCUUGGCCGCUUGUGCAAUGCCAGUGCUUUUUAUCUCCACAUUUGCUAUUCACUGCUAAGCAAGGUUAACUUUAAUAUAGUUGAUUCAUUUUACCACAUCAUGUCAUGGUCACUAGGUCAUCAUUAUUACUAGAAAUUAGUAUGUGCUUUUUACUUCCGAGGAGUAGCUGUGUUCAUCCGUCAUAGCAAAAUGAAGCAGAAGUCCAGUGGUACUUGAAAGGGUAACAUUUAUUUCAGCAUGGGCUAUUGUGAGUCAGAGGCCUUUAGCACAUGUUUGGUCUCUUCAGGUCGAGCGUACGUUACUUUCGGGUCAGAUUCUGAACUGGACACGUUUCACCCUCUUCAGAAGUCACUUUGCCGCUGACCAGAGAAGUCCCACAGUUUCCAAAAGUGGCCACUGGACGAUUUUUUCCCUGCUUGGGCAGGAAAAGUGAAGCAGAGCAGUAUGCAUUUUGCCUCCUCGGCUUUUCUGCUCCUCUCUGUCCAUCCAGGAGGAAUUCCACUGGCAUUUUCAGGGGAUCAAGAGGGAACGCGUGCGUGUGUGUGUGUGUUUUAAUUUAAACACUUUAGCUCUAUCCCAAAAGUUAUAAAUCAAAGAUAUGGCCAUCAUGAACAGGCAACACACAACCACUCAAACCCAGAAAUAUUCUCCUCAGGGGGGGCAGCCAAAAUAGCAGCUGGGCUCAGGGGAAGCAUCAGGGCGCCUCCUCAUGUGUAAACGAGGAAACACGGGGAGAUCCCACUGCAAUGCACACAGCCACAUCAAAAACUGUGAGCGCACAAAGGGCCAGAGUUCCCUUUAAAUUCUAUAAGAAUCUGUGGCAAAGAUGGGGGAGGGGGUGUCUUUUCUAAAUAAUUGGCUGGAGUCAAUGUUAGCAAUUAGUGGCUGGGAAUUUGAAAUGGGAAUUUGUUCUUCUGUGUCACGGAGUUUCAUGAUUUUUUUUUUGGUCUUCACUGUUUUUAGUCCCUGCUUUUCAGAUUCCGUGGAACCAAGUGUACCUUUUUGAAAUUCAAUUUUGUAUUCCUAUUUAAGGGGUUUUGUUUCUCCCUGUUAAGAAACCGUAUCUCACUGUCUCUGAAAUAACAUUUGUUCAUGUGAUCAAUGUGAAGGAAAUUGCAGGCAGAAGCAGAACCUGUGCUGAAUGCGACUUACAUCUGAGUAAAUGUACUCGCAAGAUGAUACCUACGAGAAAAGACAUUGCUAGAUUUGUAUGGGGAAUGUAGCUCAAUAAUAAUAGGAUGGUUCCCUACCUAUAUCUUUUAACUAAUCCUAAUCAGAGAAGAACCUUUACACUUGCUCGUUUUAACGUCUUCCCCAUUGCUUUAUUGCGUGGUAGAUUCAACAACUUCGAAUGAGUAAAAGGGUGUGCUCUUGUAAUGAAUAACAAAUUGAAACAUCGAUACAUCAAUUGUUCUGCUGCCCUAAGUCCGCAAAUAUUAGAUUAAAAUGUUGAAAUGUUGUGCAUUGCCCAGAGCCCUCCGGGGGUGGGCGGUAUAAAAAGUCAAACAAACAAACGAACAACAACAACAACAACAACAACA